GCCGAGGUAGCCAAGGUAGUCACGGCGCGUGUCUGAAGAACAUGAGAUCUCAGUGCAACUCUGAGCCUCGGCACCA
rnacentral:tRNA from 1 species